rnacentral:lncRNA from 1 species
UAUCCACAUGGUUCAGGAAAGACAGACUUUUGUCUUUGUUAGCAUGGACCCACAAGGGUCUCUCUGUUCACAGACAGUUCUACUGUGGCAACACAGUUUUCCAUAAUAGAAAAUCGAUGAACUGGAAAACAGUACAAUCUUAGCUCAUUUGUGGUCUUUUCCAAUAUGAAGGGACACAACGACACACUUCUUCACUAUAUGAAAAUCCUGGCUCACAAGCCUUCUGGCGGUUCGUACAUGGCCGUCUGUAACAGCUAGGAGAACAAACAAGAACACACUUACGUUAAAGAUCAAGGCAAUGGAUUCAUCAUGCUACCAAGAUUAAAAAAAAUGUGUCACAAGAAAGUUUACAGAACCUACUCAAACUCAAAGAGAAAUCAGAGACUAAAUUCUCAAAACUGGAAGCUCCCUACAGCAUCCACACUCUUCAGCCUUGUACUAUGUGAUGUGUAUUACGAAUGGAGCCACCGGCAGUAUUUGUAUGAACAUGAGACAAUGUGUGGCAGAUGCUUGGUGCUUUGUAAUAUUUAGUAAAAUAAAACAAUAAUAAUG